CACACACUCACGCAACUAAUCUGCUUAGCAAUCACAAGGGUGCAAAAGAACAAAGUUCACAUCAUUAUCAUUACCAACAAUGGCGAAAACAGAGAGACGCACUUAACUGGAUUCAAAAGCGAAACAAGAUAGGCAGAUUUCUACUCAAAUGAUGGUGAAGAUAGCUAUUUUUUAAUAGCUGUUGCUAAUUCACGAGCGUGAUGGAGAUCCUCAGUGGGCUCUGGGCCAGCCUGGCUCUUCUUCUGAGGCAUUCAGUCACACAAACAGACAAAGAGACAGACAGCUUCCUACCGCUGUGCUUGUUUGGUCUGUUCCUGUCUGUAUUUGUGCUUUUGUUGCAACUGGUGGUCUAUAUUCACUGGAAGCUUAAGCAGGUCGAGACGGACCUUGCAGUUUACUCACACAACCAGAGCGCCAUCUACAGGCCAAUCCAUCGAAGUGCCAACUAGAAGAACAGCAAAGAGGGACUACAAGAAGGCACAAACGCAAGAGUAUUACAAUCUUUUAUUUAAAGUGUUAACAGGGACUUGAUUUGUGUGUGUUUAAGGGUGAUACAACACAAUUAAGUGGCUAGAAAGAAAGAAACUGGACUACAAGGGAGCAACGGGGCUGCUCGCUCACUUCCCCGAUCAUUUUUUGUUUGAUUUUCUUGAGUUUUUGUGGAAAAUAGAAAAGGUACUGCAGCUGGUUUGGAUCAUUGACAAGUAUAUAUAGAUAUAUGUUUCUAAAAGGCAGUUUUGGAGCUGCCCUGUUGCAAAAUUCCCAGGAAGUGACUUUGAAGCCCCAUUGCUCCAUUUACACUGCAGUUUAUAGUGUAACAACAUUUGUAGUGGUGUUUAAUGUCCCCACACAAAAAAUAAUUCACUGGGAAACAUUACAAAUAUGAAAAAAAUGGACCAUAUUCACAGAGAAAAUGAAAUGUGGGGAGAUAAAACUACAGUUGUGACAUACGCAUAAAAAAAAAGACAUUGACGAGAAGCCGAAUUUGGAAUGUUAUUGCAAUACAUUGCAGGGUUAAGACUUUUAUUUCUUUUUUUAAACUCAUAUGGACGUCCAAUAGUUAACAUUUUACAGGAUCUCACGUUAGAAUUUGAACAAAUCCAACUUUUUCCAGUCAAGACAGGUGGAAUGUUUUUUCACGAUGUCGCCGCUAAUGUCCCGUGCUGCGUUCACUGAAAAUUAAGAAAACUGCAGAUUCUGUCCAUAGCCAUCUUAAAAGAUGAAGCUAACCUAGAAAACUGAACUCAGUGAAGAUUGUGUAUGUCAUCUACAGUAUAUGUUUCCAAACCUUUUUUUCCUCGUUUGAACGAUGUGGUUUCACAUAAAAAAACAAAUCUUUUAAAAAACAUUUUUCUCCCAGUUAACCCUUCCCAAGAACAGCAACGACUGCGUAACCUUUGUUUUAGCUUAAACUCGUUCACAUUUAGUAUAAAAUAACAAACUGAAAACUUUUCGUCAAGUGAUUUUUUUGUCUUUUUGUAGUGUGCGGACUUAAAAUCAAAAGAAACUGAGGAAUGACACGAAAAUGUGUUUUUUUUUUUGUACCAUUAGUUUGUGAGUUUUUUGGGUGGAUUAAGAGGCUGCACUGUUAUCACAUUAGUUCAGGGGUGGGGAAUUUUAUUUCUGGAUAUUAUUUAUUAGCAUUCUAGGGGCUUUUUACAACACUUUCCGUGCGAUUUUCUUUUGAGUUUUUUUCUUUUUUUUGUGUGUGUGUAAAUAGUAUCCCCACCCCUUCACUAAACUUGCCCCAAAGUGCGUAACUUCAGUGUCUAGUUUCACAAAUGUGUAUCACUGUCAAAAUAAUAUAUCCUCCACGUCCUCUUGUAUCGCCUCUUUUACGGCAAAAGAAAAAAAAACACUAUUGGAAAAACAACAAAGAAGUAAAAACACGCUAGAAAUGUUAAGCUAACAAUGUGGUUCUUUUGCUCCCUUAAUGUGUUAUGUUCCUUAUUGUUGCUUUUGCUUUUUUGGGGG